GGUGAUCUGCUCUCAUGCCUCGGGAGUGUAUUGCUUGCUGCAUGCCCAAUAAAUCUUGCCUGCUUGAGCUAUAACUGGUCUUUCAUUUCAGUUCUUUGCUACCAUGAGACAACAACCAAGGGAGAAGAACCGACCUGACCACUCUAAGGAGUUGUCAUUUCAUCCUGAGACCAUAGGAAGCAUAUGAAGAACUUUUUACACAGGAUGAAUGAUCAGACCUGCAUUUUAGAAAGCUCCUUCUUGUUGCUGUUUGGCGAGUGCAUUAGUCUGAAGAGAUGGACAUGGAUAUAAGAAGUCCUGUUACACUAAGUCAUUAUACCAGUGAAGGAAAGAAACCAGUGAAGAGAUUGAGGCCUCAUAUCUGGUUCAUUUGGAGCAGACCCUCAGUAUUGUGGGAUCUUAGAGCAUAAAGGCAAAGAAAAUCAUGAAAAAGUAAGUUCUAGAAAUACUUAGAAAUCACAAGGAGGCCUACUGGGCUGUCACAAACCAUGGAAAUGGGGUGUAGAAU
rnacentral:lncRNA from 1 species